GAAAUGCGAUAAGUAAUGUGAAUUGCAGAAUUCAGUGAAUCAUCGAAUCUUUGAACGCACAUUGCGCCCCCUGGUAUUCCGGGGGGCACACCUGUUCGAGCGCCAUUUUCACCAUCGAGCCCUGCUCGGAGAUGGGCAUCGUCCUCGCGGACCGGCCCGAAACCUGUGGGCGCCUCCGUCCGGCCCUGAGCGUAGCAAGAGAAAUCCCUCGCUCGGUGGACCGUCCGGCGGCUGCCCCGACCAUUUUUUACAAGGUUGGCCUCGGAUCAGGUGGGGAUACCCGCUGAACUUAA
rnacentral:misc_RNA from 1 species